CGGAAACAGGAAAUGUCAGGCAGCCGUGGCCUCCAAGCAGGACCCGGAAGUGUGGCGUUUCUUUGUGUUCUUCGGCGAACUCUUAAGGAAUAACUGUAGCUUGCGAGCUCAGGCGGGACCAUGCUGACUCGGCUGAAAGCAAAAUCAGAGGGGAAGCUUGCAAAACAGCUAUGCAGAGUUGUGCUGGAUCAGUUUGACAAACAGUAUUCGAAAGAACUUGGGGAUUGCUGGAGUAAAGUAAGGGAUGUUCUGAUAUCUCCAUCGCUGUGGCAAUAUGCUGUCCUCUUCAACCGAUUCAGUUAUCCCUCUGAACUGGAAAAGACCUUGCUCUUGCGGGGCUAUCACACAGUCCUUCAGGACGCUUUGCCACAUUAUCCCAAGUCAAUGAAGUGUUACCUCAGCCGAACUGCAGACCGAAUGCCUUCAGAACGACAUCAGCCGGGACGUUUGAAGACAUACUACCUGCUUAAUGCUGCUUCUCUUCUUCCAGUCCUGGCUCUGGAAGUGAAGGAUGGGGAGACAGUCCUGGACUUGUGUGCCGCUCCUGGAGGCAAAUCCAUAGCUCUGCUUCAGUGCGCUUAUCCAGACACUCUCUCCCCUGGCUCUCCAAGCCCUUCAGAGCAGUGUCUCUUUGGGAAGCCCACCAUAGAAGAGUCUUCUUCAGCCACCAUCCUGUCCUCAGUUUUCGUCACACUUAAUCACAACAGCUAUGCAGGUUAUCUUCUCUGUAACGAGUAUGAUCGCCUGAGAGGAAGAUGGCUGAGACAGACGUUGGAAUCUUUCAUCCCACAGCCUUUGAGAAAUGUAAUUAAAGUGUCUGAAUUGGAUGGCAGAGAAGUGGGGGAUGCCCAGCCUGCGACGUUUGACAAGGUGUUAGUUGAUGCUCCGUGUUCAAAUGAUCGAAGCUGGCUGUUCUCCUCAGACUCUCAGAAAGCUACCUAUAGGAUUUGUCAAAGGAACAAUUUGCCUGCCCUCCAAGUAGGACUCUUAAGGUUCUUCGUCACCUCCUCUCCCCCGGACACACUCCCAUUCGGUCUCACGUCGGAAAAGAACAGGCUUCUUAAAGACAACCAGACAUGUCAAAAUAAAAUAUGACGAGGCAACAAAUACCAAAAAAUCUGUCAUAUCAGAGUUGGACGUGGUAAACCAUCAAGAGGAAAAGAACCCCAAGAGCAGGCACAAGAGUCAGAAACCCACUUGUUUUCACAGCCAGGAGUCCCAUAAAAAUACCAAACUAUUAUCUAUGAUAAGUAUGCAGAGGACCUGGUAUAGACUCGUGUAGGCCCUGUGCUGCUUGUUUCAGGCUCUGUGAGCUCAAGGGGAAAGGGACCUCUUGUAAUCAACUCAAAAUAUAUACAAGCACUAUCUAAGGACUUCAACCUGCUAUCACCCUUGAUGAGUGUCUUUUCCUGUUGCCCUCCAUCCCUCUACCUUUCGAAAUCUUUCCACUAUUCUUCAGGAACCCUUUAGCUCUGAAGGGAGGGAUUUGACAGAGACUUCCAGUCUAGAUUUUUCUCACCAUAAUGUCUGGCUGAAGGUCUAUGCAGGUUCAAAUAUUUUCGAAUACAUUUGUUUUAUAAUGUUAAUGCUCCUGUGUGCCAAUGAUCCAAGUAUCAAUAUUUAAUUUUCCCACAAUGAGUUAAAAGAAUAGACUGCUUUCACAAUUGUGUUCACUGGUCUGAGAGAUGCAAAUUCAAUAAAAGAAUCUAAUCUAUUAAGGACAAGCUUCGGCAUGUAUUCAGUGUGCUAAGGUUUCAACGUGAAAUAUGUUCAGUGAUAAGACUGGAAUGCCAGUGGAUAAAUCCAUAAUGUCUUCUGGAUGAUCCUUCAAACCUUCUAGGAAUAUCCAAGGAUAUUAGCUGUUUCAAAAUAGAAAAGAGCUAUUCCCAGCAAUCAAGGACAGUGAGAAAAACAGGUCUUAAAGUACCAUAUGAAGAGGCUAUAGAAAAGUCUUAUUUUUUAAUAAACAACUGUUUAUAAAAACAACUGUUAAUAAACAAAUGUUUUUUUUAAUGAAAACCACUAUGAUCAUGAACUUCAUUUAUCUUUACAUUUUUGUCUCCAAACUAACUGAACUUUAGUUGCCUAAUCUUUAAAGUAAAACAGAAUAUAUUUUGAGGUUGUUCCUAUGUUCCAGGCCAUUUGAUAGAUACUUGUGUUGGCUACUUUAUUUAAUCUGGUGUCUUCUUGGGACUGUUUUCUGAACUAUACCUCAACCUGAGGCAGGUGGCUAGUGCUAUAUACAAAAGUCAGGAGAGCAGGGAUAUAGGUCAGCAGCAGGGGAAUCAAAAUAGCUCCAGGAUUUGAUAAAUCAUUCUACUGCAGUCUGAACAGGUAGUCAGGUUGACAGGAGCCAGUACAGGGACUAGUGUGAGGAGUGCCAUCUAUGCUAGGUCACCUUGGCAAAAAUAGUCCUCUGGUUAAAAGGAUGUUCCAUUACUUCAUGGAGGUAGAAAGCUUAGUUGAUUUCAUCUUUGUUUCCUUUCUGCAGUCGCAGCAAACCAGACUUUGUUUUCAAACAUGAGGUUGUUUUUUUGUAGCCCUCUUUUGUAGCUAAAUCUUUGGUUAUAUAAACCAGUCCAUUUUUAAAAGCAGAACAUUCUCCAGCCCCUCUCCUAUAUUUUGUUAUAUUACUUCUUUUACAAUGUGUGUAAAAUGUCAUAUGCAUUGUCAUUUUGUAUGGCCCUAAAGUACACAAAGGUCUAUAGAAAAGUUUUAAAGCCUAAAUAAUAAAAUAUAAAUGAAUAGUGUUAGAUCAUCCUAGUGUGCUGUUGAAAGGAUAUGGCCACGUGAAGUUGGAGAGUGGUUUUGUUAAUUGGCUUUUUAAAAAGUCCUACCGUAUGUUUAGGUUAUAUUCUUUUCCCUCCCCCUAGCUCCUCCUAGAUCUUCUCCCUCUCAACCCACGCAACUUCAUGUUCUGUCUCUCAAAAAGGAAAAGCAACACCAAAACACACUCAUGUUCACACACACUCACACACACACACACACACACACACACACACAUGCACACACAUACACACACAAGCAAUAAAACCAUGGAGUCCAUUUUGUAUUGGCCAAUUACUCUGAGGAAACCUGGAGAGUGGUUGAUGUACCUACUGCCCCUUGGGGACAACUAAUUUCCCUGCUGCUACUUUUUUCUAGCAGUAUCAAUUGCAACUAGCUUCUUGGUUAGGAGCAAGAGUUUGUGCUGAGCAUGUUUUUAAACAAGUAAGAAACAAAACUUUGUAGAUCAGCUGCCUCACCUAUUCAUCCUAGAGUGUCUCAGUUAUUUCAUUAGUGUUCCUAUGGCUUGUUUGUUUUUUUCUAAUACCUAUCACAUCAUUUUGUUUCUAAACUAAUCACAUUACAGGAUUUAAUAUUUUGUUUUCUUUUUCUUUUCCUUUUUGGGUAUUUUCUUUAUUUACGUUUUAAAUGUUAUCCCCUUUCUUGGUUUCCCCUCCAGAAAUCCCCUAUUCCAUCCCCCUCCCCCUGCUUGUAUGAGGGUGCUCCCCCACCUACCUACCCAAUCUUUCCUGCCUUCCCGCCCUGGCAUUCUCCUAUACUGGGACAUUAAGCCUUCACAGGACAAAGGCCUCUCCUCCCAUUGAUGCCCAACAAGGCCAUCCUCUGCUACAUAUGCAGCUGAAGCCAUGAGUCAUGCCAUGUGUACUCUGGUUGAUGGUUUUGAACCUGGGAGCUCUUGGGGGGGGGUCUGGUUGGUUGACAUUAUUGUUCUUCCUAUGGGGAUGAAAAGCCCUUCAUAUCCUUCAGACCUUUCUCUAACUUCUCCAUUGGGGACCCCAUGCUCAGUCCAAUGGUUGGCUGUGAGUAUCUGCCUCUGUAUUUGUCAGACUCUAGCAGAGCCUCUCAGGAGACAGCUCUAUCAGGCUCCUUUCAGCAUGUACUUCUUGGCAUCCACAAUAGUGUCUGGGUAUUUUUAUUUUCAAGUUCCUCCACAGACAUUAAAAGUAUGAGUCUGUUAUGUUCAAUAACAGAAACACUUGAUUCUCUAGUGAUCAUUGAAAAGAUCCAGAUUACACCAGCAUUCUGUACUUUAAGAUGUAAAAUAAGUACAAUGAUAAAUCGUGCAGCACACAAAUGUGCAUUGGAAGCUCAGUCAGUGGAGAAUCCUUGGGGACUUUGUAAGUCCAUGAGGUUUAUCUUCCCAGCACUGCACUGUUGUUUUCUAACACUCUUGAAUAUGAAAGCACAGUCUUUCUUCUAAUAAGUGCAUCUUGGUGGUAUCUCAGCAGAAACCAAGUACUUGGAAACAAUUUGGAAAAGACAAACAUAGGAGAUCCUUGGUAUAUAGCCCUGCCCUACAGAUUUCUCUCUAGGUCAGGGAAUGCUUUUAUCCUCACUAUGGAAAGAGUGAUCAUGUAAUUUAUUGUCCAACACCAUAUUUUUUAGAAUAAAGGGGCAGGUUAUUAAUACCCAGACCUGGACAGGGUAUACUAUAUGACCAGGGUAACUAUAUGACUAGGAUGGGUUAUGGAGAGGAGAACAGGGCCUUGUGCAUCUAAAGAGAUCAAACAAAAGUCAUAUAUCAAAUGGAACUCAUCCCUGAGAAAUGCUUUUGUCCUUCCUAUACACUUUCUUUAGUUUGUCUUCUCAGAAACCUCAGCCCAAAUAAAUUUCCAUUUACAAAAUAGAAAUACAAAAUAGAUUGCCUUUCCCAGUUAUCUGCCUCAACUGCAGAAGGGAAAGGGGCCCCUUGCAAUCAACUCAAAAUAUAUAUGAGCACUAUCUAAGGACUUCAACCUGCUAUCACCCUUGAUGGGUGUUUUUGACAAGGUCCUAGCUGCAGUAAGAUUGUGUACCAUGGGUGAUCUGAGACUGACAUUCUCUUAUUGCAAGCCAUUGUUACUGUGAACCUCUUACCACUCUGUGACUGGUACUCACAUGUAAAUUAUCCUAAUUUGAUUUCCUGUUACUGUGAUAAAAUGCAGACCAAAAGCAACUUGUGGAGGGAAGGUUUUAUUUCCUCAUAUAGAAUACAUCUCAGUAUUGACAGAUGCCAAUGCAGGAGGGACUUGAAGCCAAAGGUAUUGAGAGAUGUUGUUUACUGGUUCAGUCCCUCUUACUUCCUCCACUAUUUUUCUUUCACAGCCUAGGCCCACCUGUCUAGGGAUGACAGAGCCCACAGUAGAACGAGUCCUCCUGUAUCACAUAGAAUUAUGCAAAUACUUCUCAGACAGGCCAACAGGCCAGUCUGAAAGGCAAUUCCUCAAAUGGGGUUCUCACAUCCAAUGUGACUUUAGUCAUAUGAAGUUGUCAGAAACUAAGCAGCAUGGCCAGAGGGACCUUCCUACACCAAUUAUCAUAUAUGCCCCUACAGACAUGUUCAGAGCCUAAUCCAAGCAAUACAGUCCCUGCAACUAUGUCUCUCUUAUAGGGCCCUGUUGGGGGUAGCCCACACCUUUAAUUCAAGCACUUGGGAGGCAAAGGGAGUUCGAGGACAGCCAAGGUUACACAGAGAAACCUUGUCUGGAAAAGCUAAAUCCCCUCUAACCCAUAAAAACACUCUCUUAUGCAAUCCUUGGUUGUAUUAAGACGAGAGCUGAAAAUAACUAGACAUCUCUAUCCCUUGCCAAUUUGAUACAUAAACCUAUAUCACUUUAAAUCAGAACCUUGUCUUUCUUGUCUUAAGGAAGCUAAAAGCAAGUUAUGAUGGUUGGAGGAAGUUGUAAGUUGGUAGUUUAUGUAGGUAGUACAAGUUAGGAUAAAAAUUGAGUUAGAUAUAAAAUUCUUAACUCAUCAAGAUAGGAUAGAUAGGACUUUCUCCAAAGAUUACUAAAUACAAAUGGACUAGACAUUGUGAGUAUAAUUCUUACUUGAUAGUUCUUAUAAUUAUUUUUAUUGUUAAGAGAAAGAGUCUUUAUUGGACUAAAAGGGAGAGGUGUUGGAGUACACUGUAUGAAGUUGUGUCUCUGUCCUUUCUUACCUACGUAAGGCUUUCUCUGAUUGGCUUUAAUAAAAUCUAAGGGCCAAUUAGCUGGGCAGGAAGCAGAAGGUGGGACUUCCUGGGAGGGAUAAGGGAACUCUAGGAAGAACAAAAGGGAAGGCCCCUUUGCUAGGAGAUAUGAGAGGAGAUGGACAUGCUGUGAGCCAGGAAGGUAUAGUUAGUCACAUGGCUGGAUGGGGCUAGGUGGUCAGGUUAGUUUAGAUGAGCGAGUUGAGAGUCUGCCCAGCUAACACCUAAGCUUUGAGAUAUUCAAAUACUGUUGUGGUUAUUUGGGAGAACUAGCUGGUUAAGGAAUAACUGUUGUAUUAAUUUCCAGUAUUACUUCAUAGAUACAGAAUAUUAAUAAUCUUUUUACACCUUGGCAACCAUCUUUGUCUCUGUUUAAUUCCUGUCUCCAUGAUCUGUCCAUUGCUGAGAGUGGGGUGUUGAGGUCUCCCACUAUUAUUGUGUCAUGAGAGAACUGGGUUCUGAAGAUGCCAGGUGGCCUUGGUUUCUGUUGCCUAGGUUCUUGCUCUUGCCUCUUGCCAUCUGGUUACCUCUGGUGUUAGCUGGUUUUCCUGUCUCUGACAGUGGCUUGACCCUCCUGUAAGUCUGUGUGUCAGCAUUCCUGGGAGACCAGCUGUCUCCCAGCAGGAUCCUGGCACAUAGAGCUGUGGCACAGGGUCAGCUCAAGUACCAAGGGAAAUCGGAAGGAUCCCAUCCCAGACUGCUCCUCAGCUCCUGCGUCCUGAGGGCUCUGGGCAGGUCUCUGAGUAAAAAAUGGUGUUCUCACCUGUGAUUUCAAAUGUGUCAGCACUCCUGGGAAACCAACUCUCUCCCGGCGGGAUCUGGGAACAGAGAGCUGUGGUACACCAUCAGCUCCGGGUGCAGAUGAAAACUGGAAGGAUCGUGGCACAUAUUCUAUUACCAUUUUUUUUUAUAAACACAAAUGUGACUGUUUUCAAUGAAUCAUUUGUAUCUCAACAUUGUUCUCAUCAUUAAUAUUUGUUUUUUCAUUAAUAUUUUAAUAUGUAAUUUCAGACCUAUACAACUCCAAAAUUAUUGUUUGUUUUGCUUUACUCUUAUGGCUCACUCAUUUGUCUAGCCAGCCGUGUUUUAGCGAGCCCUUACCUAAACCAAUUGAGAAGGUAUUUGUACUUGAAUUUACUCUGUAAAUAAAUGUGCUCUGCUCCAUAAUACCAAUGUAUUUAUGAUGAUGAGGGAUGCCUGAUAAAAACCUCCUAGCACAGGCUUAACUCUUUAACACAUUUGCAGUAACCCUCAUAGGUAAUCAAAUAGACAAGGCAGGAUACCAACAGAGAUGAGAAAGUUAGAAUGGGUGACACACAUUCAAAACAUGUUGCUAUUCCAAUAUUCAUAAACCAACUUCCUUCAAUUCCCAUCCAGCUCCAGAGGUCUGGAUAAGGGAUGCUGAAAAUUUUGAUGGAGGAAGUAAAUAAAUAGUUGGUUUUUGUAUAUGCUGAGUUUCAGGAGUGGGGAGCCGAUCCUCAAACUGCUUUUCAGUCAAUUGGACACAUUUAACCAGAAUUUCAGGCAUAUGACAAUGGUGUAUAUCUAAAUGAAACUUCAUCGUAAGUAGGAAUGAGUCACAGAGACAGAAAACGGAGGAGCAGUGAUGGCUAAUACUUGAGGCAUACAUGACUGACCAAGAAGCCCAGCACAGUUCUCAGGGAGCUUAGAGUUGUAAAUAAGGCUGUAGGAAUAGGCUGAGAUGGGUGAGAAGCAGCCAGACACAGUGCUUAGGUAAGUGUUUGAAGGAAGAGUUGAUCAUUAGAAUUAAAUACUCCAGAGAGCUCAGGGUAACACCAGUAACAGAAAGAGAUUGGGUUGAGUCAUUCUAGCAAUUGAGAGAUAAAGAAUGAAUGGUAAGCUGCUCUCAUAGCGGCAAGGGAAGUGAAAAAGAUGCUAUGGAAAUCUUACAAGGGAUGGCUGCAGACUUUGGUGGGUGUACUCAUUUCUAGUUGAUUCAAAGGAGAAGCAGCUAAGUAUCAUAGAACUUUGCAGCUAAUCUGAUCGUGCAUUUUAUCCACUUUGAUUUGCCAUUCAGAAAAUUGAUGUCUCUAAAGUGUUUAAGACUCUGAGAGUGGCCAGAGUUUAAGUGAGAUCGUGAGAAUGAGACAUCCCUAUUUAGUGCUUUUUCAGCUCUGAAUACACAAAAGGGUCUGUAAUGUGUUGUUGGGAUGGUAACUGUUGUUGUUCUGGUGAUGUUCUUUAAACAGAAGACAAGUUCCCAACCAACUCAAGAAUAAAAUGUCUCUGUCUCUGUCUCUGUCUCUGUCUCUGUCUCUCUUUCUCUCUCUCUGUGUUAGUGUAUGUAUGUGUAUAUAAAUGUUUUCAUAAAAACAUAUCUUUGUUUCUCAUACAUAUUCUAUGAAAUAUUCCUUAUUCUAUGGAAAAUUGCACAUUUGUGUAUUGAAACUUUCAGUUAACCCAGUGAAAUACCUCAUUGUAUCAGUAUCUAUGGCUCUUUCUAUAAACUUUCAGUAGUUUUUCCAUGUAAUAGGACAAUGAAGGAAGGUCAUGAAAAAAGUGACAAAAGGAAUUGAUCCUGGCCCUUGGUUUUAUAUAUUUUUGUAUUAUUUGAAUUGUCUAUUCAGGGGCAAAGGAAUAUACCAGAAUUGCUACACUGAUUCCAAAUUCCAGUUCAUAAUAUACCAGUCCUUAGCAUGGCUCUAAAUGUAAUAUACAAAUAUGUGUUAUUUCAAGGCACAUGCAUAGGACUGUUAUGGAAUUCACCCUAUAUUAUGAGAAUCAACCAAAUUCUCUCUUUCUCUUGCUCUCUUUAUCAGCUCAUAGCAUGUAAUGUCAUGAGUUCCUAGUACUGCCCGAUUGGGGCACUCUCAGUGGAUUCUCUCACGCUUGAUAGUGCUGUGUAAGCAGUGAAGAAGCGAGAAGAACAAAGGUCUUGGCCAAAGGGACAGGACAAUGAAGGAUGGCACCUGUCAACAGUGUGGCUGGAGGAGUGUGGCCUCCAUCUACAUGGUGUAGCUUGGGACUUAGAAACUGGAGAAAUGCUUUUCACUUCUCCCUUUGGUUUGAUGGGCUGGCCUAGGCCUGCUGGCACAGAGACAAGACUUGCAUAGCCUACAUGAAAUUAAACUGAAGACUUCAGCUGUCAAGGUGCAGGCCACACCAAGCAAGAGAACUAGAGUAGGCGACUACAGUUUGAAGAACAGGUGGAAGCCAAGCAGGGUUUUGGGACUGGAGCCUAGCAGAAGAGUCAUCAAAGAGAACAGAGAGACUUCACCCAACAACUGAAGGAAGCAGAUUCAGAGUACUGCAGCCAUAUAUUGGGAGAGCUCAUGGAGAACUAAAGAGGAAGGAUUGGAGUAAGCAGGUAGAUCAUGAAUACUACAAGAAUAUAAGGACACACACAGAGUCAACUGACUGGUACUCAUGGGGACUCAGAGAGAUCAGGUAGCCUAUGUGGGUCUGACCUAGGUCCUCUUUUGGUAUGUUAUGGCUGAGUAGUUUGGUAUUCUUGUGGAAUUUUUAACAGUUGGGGCUGUCUCUGACACCUUUGCCUGCUUGUGGGAUUCUAGACCUUCUACUGGGUUGCCCAAUUUGAAAGCACCAUAAGAAAAAUGGAAGCUCAUUCAAUUCCAUGAGUUGUAGAUGUCUUCCUAUGUGAGUGUCCCUAUCACCAGCACCACUACCACCACCAUUAUUUCUUAGUAUGUAGUCUCCAAGAGGGAUCCUAAUGCUCCUUGCUUUCCAACAUUGAUAUGCUGUAUAGUUGAGUAAGGAAGACCUGUGUAAGCAGUAGGGUAUUAUGAUGAUAAUUAUGUGGUGCUUCAGGUAGUGAUGUACCUUGUUAUACAGCAGCAGAUAGCUAUCACAAUCAUCACCAUUCUCCUUGGGUGCCUCUCAGAUACAAACAAGUUUUUUUAAUUUAUUUAUUUAUUUAUUUAUUUAUUUAUUUAUUUAUUUAUUUUUAUUAACUUGAGUAUUUCUUAUAUACAUUUCAAGUGUUAUUCCCUUUCCC